AUGGUACGCCACGUAGGAAGAACCUGCCAGGUUGUGCCCACACAACCCUGGUGGGAGCCCCCAUGCGGUCAAUGUUCUGUGGCAAUUGGAGCAGAAUAAGAGGCAAGAACUCUGGGAACAGGGGAAACCAAAAGGAUUGGAGGUGCUGCAGAUGAAGUAUAGGGUACUGAAGCGGAGAUCUGGGGAAGGGAACUCAUCAAAAUGAUAUUUAAACGUAGGUCAGCUGCAGUGCGAUUGUCUGAAGUUGGAACAUCCAGGGCAGAGAAGAGCAAGAAGAAGCGCAGUCUAAUGAAAGCACACCCGGCACGCUCAAGGGAUGGAGGCAGGGGAUGCUAGGCCAGCAGUAGAGGUGCGAAGGUAGCAAUGAAGGAGGACAAGAAGGCAGGAAGAAGGAACCGACUGCCCUAUUUUUUUUCAGAUACUCUUCUACUCUGACCUGCAUAUCUGAACUUUCAAGACAUGCUUCCUCCCUUAGAGAAGACGUCUUUCGAUGGUAUGCACUGUCUGUUAGGAUGAGCAAAGAGCCUGUCAGUGGCAAACUGGGUGAGGAGCCGGCUCCCAGCCCCUGGCCUCUUCCAGCUGGAGGUUGCAUUUAUAAAACGGGUGUGGAUGGAGAGAUUCUUAUGCCUCAUUCAGGACUGUGCUCUUAGGCUCAUUCCUUAGUUUCUCCUUAGAAAUUACUGAACCAACCUUAUCAUUUGCUGGGUGCUAUGCUUAGCACCUUAUAAUUGUGAACUCAUUUAGUUCUCAUAGCAACCCCUCUAAUGUGGGUAACAUUAUCACCUACAUUCUACAAGGUCACCAUUAUUUCAGAGUCCACAGCCUCACCCUGUAGUCUGGACAAGCCUUACCUACAAGGCUUUGUUUUCUAUUCUGCAAUUAUAACUACCCAGGAAUUCACAUAUCCUUGGGGCUUUCUCCUUAUGAAGACUUGGUGAGGGGCUGACUUUUUUUUCUUUCUUUCUUUCUUUUUGUUUUUGUUUUUGUUUUUUGUCUCUCCCAGGAGGUACUACAGAGCAGAGUACCCAUUUUGCACUUAGUGAAUGCAUUUUUCAACCACAACUCCUAGCCUCCACCAGCUGGGCCACUCUGUUCUCCAUGGUCUAAGCUGUAGAAGAAACAGUUUUGACUUUUCAUUUUGCAUCCCAGCUGCUGUUCAGAUCAUUUGCCACACUCCUGGAUCUUGGUACCCCGGCCUUCUCCUGCCUGUUUGUUAUUGUAAGAAGUGGCUCUAGGGCUGCCAGCUAGGUGUGACCAACCUCUCUCGGGUCUGUUUGUUCCACCCCAUGCAGCUACCCACUGCAAAAAGAGGUGCCCUUGAAAGUACCUCCUCCCUUAAGACUUAUCUCCUGUGCCCUGGGAAGUUGCCUAGCAACCUCCCCCUUCUUUCUCUCCUUCCCCACGCUCUUGUGCAGCUCCAUUCCCAUUGCCAUCACUCCAGCACCCACGCCCAGCUUCUCUUCAGUGUCAUCAAGCCGUGCCUCUCUGCUUCAGUGGCCCACCAUCCAGCUUCCACAGACUGCAUUAUAAAACAAACCUAGGCUGAGGCGUCCUUUCAUUUCCUGACCUUGGACAGUUCUGAGAGACUCUUCACACCACCAUUUUAAUAGUAACCUCCAGGGCAAACUACCAAAGAAGGAGGCAAAAGCAAAAGCAAAACCAAGACAAAACACAAAGAAAGAAAACUCUCCCAAAACAAAAGACUGAAAUUUCUUAAGGUGUGUACCCAAACUUCAGAUAACUCUUUUUAUCCCCACCUUAAAAAGUUGGACCAUAUUAGGCUAUGGCAGGCAAGCUAGGUGGUGGCCUGAGGAGCAGUGUGCAGUAUUAUUACUUAUUCUGGAACCAAGGCAGAGCUUUCCUCUGUUGCCCUCUUCACAAUCUGGAAGAAAGGAAGAUCCUCCCUUGUCUUGAAGGCCAUUCAACAAGCAUCAUGGUAGUUUGGGGUAUGUCUGCCACCAUUUUGACUGCUAUUGAGUAACAGACAGCAGGCGGUUCCUUGCCAAGCCCACCUCCUUACAGAGAAAGGUGGUCUCUUAGGGAGACAAAGAGUCACCCCUUCUUAACAUCAGUCAGAACAUCUGUUUGGCUCAGUCCUGACUUUUCAACAGCAAAAUCUCACUCCUCUGCCAUGAAUUUAGAUCUAACUGAAUCUGCUAAUCCAGGGCUUCAUAGAUGUCUCCACUUGCAUGACCACUUUGUGCCUGGGAAGUUCUUAUGUGACUCAAUUCUUAUAGACACAUAAAUAGGCACAUAAAUCAGACAUUUGGCAGUAAUAAAUCAUAAAGAAAUUUACUUUAAAAUAAUUUUUGGGGGCUCUCGAAAGAGACCUCUUGGUAAAGUGCUUGCUUUGCAAGACCGAAGACCUGUAUUUGAUCCCCAGAAGCUGUGUACAGAAACUGGACAUGUUUGUAAUCACAGCCCUGGGGAGGAAGAGACUGAUGGAUGCUCAGGGCUCACUAUCCAGCCUGCCGAUCUAUUUGGUGAGUUCCAGCUGGUCAGUGAGAAAUCUUAUCGCAGAAAAUAAUGUUGAUAGCACCUGAGAAACCACAGCUGAGGUUGUCCUCUGGCUUCUAGAUAGAUUCACAUGUGUGCACAUAAACUUAUACUUAUGUACACAUAUGAGCUCUAGUUCUCUCUCUCUCUCUCUCUCUCACACACACACACACACACACCAAUUAUUCAGCAUACACAUAACGUAGAGUUUAUUAAAGAUUAAAGCAAAUCUGCAUUCUCCA